UGUCUGUGACCAGAAAAUGGCAUCAAAAUCAAAAUGUGAAUCAGGAACCAAAAACAGAGUGUUCCAAAUAGUAGAAAAACAAGCAGGACCUGUUUAGACGCAAUGAUUAAGGCAGCAGUCUGAAUCAAACCUACCAAAAGUGAGAAAAGUUCUUCAAUGUGAUUCAGCUUCUCGGUCUCUGCUAACAUGCCAUGGACUCUGGUGAUAUUUUGCAUUCUACAAACCGCUAGUUCCUAAGAGAUUAGCCACAUCCUCCUCCACGUGUGGUACCUCCUGUAAAGUGCAAAACUGCUAAAAUGGCUUAAGCUGGAGAUAACCAAAAUGACUGUUCCCGCUGCCAGAUGACACAUGCAUAAGAAAGGGGGAACAUUGUGAAUGUAGGAAAGAAAGAAAAACAAACAUAGGAGAAAAGAGAAAUACAAGAAAAAAAUCAAAUGAGUAGGAAACAAAAGGACAGAUGCUCACUGCAAGGAUCUUACUGAGAAUCUUAUAACAAUAAAUUUUUGAUACUGGAAAAGCUUCAGUUCACACUUCUUAUACAACAUGCUGUAUAGUGCUAUAAACUUCAAAAGACUCAUAUCCUAAAUAGCUGCAAAAAGUGUACCAACAUGAAGUCAAUUUUUUCAUAAUGAAAUGAUUCUAGUAAUGUUUAUAUUAUUCUCAGAGUAACCUCAAAUAAUGUUCACACAGGCUGGCUGGUAUGUUUUCUGCACUUGCCCAGAGUUUGGCUUAGAGGUGAAGUGAUUUCAUAACCAUUUCUGUACAAACUGAUCUUGCAGCACAACCAGUUUGAAGGAACCUUCAUACGGUACACUCCUUUCCUAUACACUUGAGACUAUUAAAUGCAAUGUUACAGUGCAAUGUUAUACAUGUUUACUUAGAAGUAUAAGCCAACAGGAUUUAUGCCUAAAGUAUAUAUAGGAUUGCAGCCUUACAAAAUGUCAGGUUUGCUAUUUUGUGAUCACAGAUUUACAGAAUUGCAAAUAUGAAUUUAUCAGACUAAAAGAAUAUGGCUCAACACUUUUAAAAAGUUAUUUUAAGGCAAGUUUGAAAUCUGGUUUGUGUUUUCAAAGCAUUCUUAUGUGUACUGAAAGAGAGGAGCACAA